rnacentral:rRNA from 1 species
ACGGGAGGCAGCAGUGGGGAAUAUUGCACAAUGGGGGAAACCCUGAUGCAGCAACGCCGCGUGAAGGAUGAAGGCCCUUGGGUCGUAAACUUCUGUUCUAAGGGAAGAUAAUGACGGUACCUUAGGAGCAAGUCCCGGCUAACUACGUGCCAGCAGCCGCGGUAAUACGUAGGGAGCAAGCGUUAUCCGGAUUUACUGGGUGUAAAGGGCGUGUAGGCGGGACAUCAAGUCAGAUGUGAAAGCACGAGGCUCAACUUCGUGUCUGCAUUUGAAACUGACGUUCUUGAGUGUUGGAGAGGCUAACGGAACUCCUAGUGUAGCGGUGAAAUGCGUAGAUAUUAGGAAGAACACCAGUGGCGAAGGCGGUUAGCUGGACAAUAACUGACGCUGAGGCGCGAAAGCGUGGGUAGCAAACAGGAUUAGAUACCCUGGUA